CGGAGGAUGCAAGCGUUAUCCGGAUUCAUUGGGUUUAAAGGGUGCGUAGGCGGCUUUUUAAGUCAGUGGUGAAAUCCUGCCGCUUAACGGUAGAAUUGCCAUUGAUACUGAAAAGCUUGAGUACGGUUGAGGUAAGCGGAAUGUGUAGUGUAGCGGUGAAAUGCUUAGAUAUUACACAGAACACCAAUUGCGAAGGCAGCUUACUAAACCGGCAACUGACGCUGAUGCACGAAAGCGUGGGGAGCGAACAGGAUUAGAUACCCUGGUAGUCCACGCCGUAAACGAUGUUCACUCGCUGUUUGCGAUACACAGCAAGCGGCCAAGCGAAAGCAUUAAGUGAACCACCUGGGGAGUACGAUCGCAAGGUUG
rnacentral:rRNA from 1 species